rnacentral:rRNA from 1 species
CCUACGGGUGGCAGCAGUGAGGAAUAUUGGUCAAUGGGCGCGAGCCUGAACCAGCCAAGUAGCGUGAAGGAGGACGGCCCUGCGGAUUGUAAACUUCUUUUAUCAGGGAAUAAAGUGAGGCACGUGUGCCUGUUUGUAUGUACUUUAUGAAUAAGGAUCGGCUAACUCCGUGCCAGCAGCCGCGGUAAUACGGAGGAUCCGAGCGUUAUCCGGAUUUAUUGGGUUUAAAGGGAGCGUAGGUGGGUUGUUAAGUCAGUUGUGAAAGUCUGCGGCUCAACCGUAACAUUGCAGUUGAUACUGGCAGUCUUGAGUAUAGGCGAGGUACGUGGAAUUCGUGGUGUAGCGGUGAAAUGCUUAGAUAUCACGAAGAACUCCGAUCGCGAAGGCAGCUUACCAAACUGCCACUGACAUUGAGGCUCGAAAGUGUGGGUAUCAAACAGGAUUAGAUACCCUAGUAGUC